rnacentral:misc_RNA from 1 species
CAGACGCUUAGGCACCUCUUUCUCACGCCACACGCCCGAGACACCAGGACACACUUGGCGUCGUUCAAAGAGACGAGGCGAACGCACCGCCCCCUCCCCUCCCCCCGAAACAUCGCGCCCCAUUUUGUUGUCGCGUUCUUCGGUUGUGUGUGGGCUAGCGACACGCGGCCGGAUCAGCACUCGGUCGUAUUCCUCAUUUUUCUCCCUUUCUUCCUUUGUUGUUCUUGCUUCUCCUCACAGCAUAUCAUGGCGUCUUCUCUCUCGACCACAGCGUUGCUAGUGGCGCUCUUCGUCACGAUGGUGCCAUGGGCGUGCGUGCGCACCGUGUACGCGAGCACGCCACACCACGGGUACGCGAGCUGCGACCCAUCGGUGGUGCAGUCGAGCGGCUAUAUCAACAUUCCCGGCGUCAACCAGACACUGAAGCACUACUUCUACUGGCUGUUCGGCCCGCGUAAGUGGCCAAAUGAUUUCCGCGAGCCGCCGGUGAUUAUGUGGAUGACGGGCGGCCCGGGGUGCAGCUCCAGCAUGGCCCUGCUCACGGAGCUCGGCCCCUGUAUGAUGAACGAGACGUCUGGUGAGCUCUACCACAAUACUUACGGGUGGAAUGACGAGGCGUACCUGCUGUUCGUGGACCAGCCGACCGGUGUGGGCUACUCGUACGGCGAUAAGUCCAACUAUGCGCACAAUCAGAGCGAGGUUGCGGAGGACAUGUACAACUUCCUGCAGCUGUUUGCGCGGCGCUUUACGUCGCCGUCGAUCACGGGCGCGAACGACUUCUACAUCAUUGGUGAGAGCUAUGGCGGGCACUAUGUUCCUGCCGUGAGCCACCGUAUCCUCAUGGGCAACGAGCGCAGUGACGGCCUGCACAUCAAUCUUAAGGGCAUCGCCAUCGGCAACGGCCUCACGGACCCGUACACGCAGCUCCCCUUCCACGCCCAAACCGCUUACUACUGGUGCAAGGAGAAGCUGGGUGCUCCCUGCAUUACCGAGAAGGCGUACGAGGAGAUGCUCUCGCUGCUGCCAGCUUGCUUGGAGAAGACGAAGAAGUGCAACGAGGGGCCCGACGACUCGGACGUGUCGUGCAGCGUGGCCACCGCGCUCUGGGCCGAGUACGUGGAUCAUUACUAUGCAACCGGCCGCAACAGCUAUGAUAUCCGCAAGCAGUGCAUCGGCGACUUGUGCUACCCGAUGCAGAAUACGAUCGACUUUUACCAUAAGCCAACCGUCCGAGCAUCGCUGGGUGCCAGCGCUAAGGCGCAGUGGUCCACGUGUAACGGUGAGGUCAGCGCGCUCUUCGAGAGGGACUACAUGCGCAACUUUAACUUUACCUUCCCACACAUGUUGGAUAUGGGCAUUCGUGUGUUGAUCUACGCCGGUGAUAUGGACUUCAUAUGUAACUGGCUGGGCAACGAGGCGUGGGUCAAGGCACUGCAGUGGUUUGGUACGGACGGCUUCAAUACUGCGCCAAAUGUGGAGUUCGCUGUCAGCGGUCGUUGGGCUGGUCAGGAGCGCAGUUACGGAGGCCUCAGUUUUGUGCGCAUCUACGAUGCUGGUCACAUGGUACCGAUGGAUCAGCCAGAGGUCGCGUUGUUCAUGGUGCACCGCUUCCUGCACGACCAGCGUUUGGCAUAAGGCGUAAUCGUAGUGUGAGCGAGAGCCCUACGUGCGUUUGUGUGUGUGUGUGUACGAGGCGGCGAGCUCAGCCCAGGUGAAUGAGAAGCUAGUACUUUGCGUCGCGUCGUGCUCACCAGUGGCGCCGGGCAAACGACAGGCCGAAUGGGACUGCUCCGCAUGCUGAGAUGUGCGCGUGUGCGUGUGUGUGUGUGUGAUUUCUAUAUCGAUCAGUAUUUCUUGCUUUUCUUUUUAUGUGGUUUGUAAGAUGCGGUGAGACACCCCUCCGCAUACAAACGCUUCACCAGCAGAAGCCCACGGUGAAGAAGAGGGGAGCGCCAGCGUGUCACAGACCCCCUCCCCUCCCCACACAC